rnacentral:tRNA from 1 species
GCCUGGCUGGCUCAGUUGGUAGAGCAUGUGACUCUUGAUCUCAGGGUUGUGAGUUCAGGCCCCAUGUUGGGCA